UGUUAAAAUUUUAUAAUAAUUGUAUGAAUAUAAGACAAAAAAAAAGUGGAAUAAUGAUAACUUUCCUAAUAAAAAUAAAGAAGAUAGUCAAUCUGAAAUUAAGCGAGGAGAAUUUUACGUCGACUUAAUUAUAUUAUAUUGGAGGACCUGUCUAUGGUACAGAUUCUGUAACAAACAUCUCCCGUCAUCCCACCAUUCGAUUUUCUAUUGUUCAGUUUCUCACUCCACAUCCAACCACAUCCAACGGCUGAUGCUGCAGUCUGUAGCUUACAGAUUCUGUAAGCUAGUCGAGUCCUAUAUUGGAAAGAGAAAGAGUCCCAACUUUUAGGUGUUAAAGUAACCGUGCAUUAUUAUAUUGAUUACGGAAUGGAGUCAACAUGGUACCUGAAAGACACCAAACAGGUGGCAAAGCCGCAAAGGGCCAGUGAAUUUAGUGGUGCACGCUCGUGCCAAGUGUUAAAUUGGCAGCGGAAACCAACUUGUCUUCUCCUUGCGCUUUCACGUGUAGCGAAAGCCAAGUUGUCUUCGGUCUUCCCCUUACCCUUUCACAUGCAACAGUUUGUUUUCUAUUGUGGGAUGCAGAAACUGAUGGCGAAAAAGGCAGGCCAUUUCAUUUUCGAAGCAACCACCAAAUUUGUACAGAAAAAAGUUUGAGCAACUAAUUUCAUGGUUUCUUCUUCUUGAUGGUGACUGCGACGAAAAGAGAUUAACUGUACGGUGAUUAAUUAUUUCUCUGAUUAAAGAAAGAAUCAAUGUUGAUUUGAUAAUCAAGGAGAGGUUGUCGAGCAACGACCGUCGUCCGAUUAAGCCAUACUACCCAAUUUUAGUCAAAAUACGAUAAUUAAAAUCUAAUUAAGAUCAAAGCCGAUCUAGUUACGUCAUACGUGACUAUGAUAAUGGUGUUAUUGUCUAUGCUUAAUAAAAUUAUUUUUGGUAAAAUUUAUUUUUAUUUUGGUUUUUUUUUUUUUUUUGUUGAGAACUUAAAAUGACAUGAUUUAUAAAAUUGAAGGACCACCUUUUAUUUAAGUGGCCUUCCCAUUGAUAGACACUAGAAAGAGAUUCAGUUGCAAUUGAUGUGAGGGCGUGUCUCCUUCACUUUAUUUGAAUAUUACGUUGGAUAGUGCAAAACAAAUAAUUCAAUGUGUGUGUUGGCACUUAAAAAGCCCAACCAAUGUGUAUGUGCCGAAAAAAAAAUGAUGUGUUUAAAUUAAAACUCAAUCAAAAAAUUUAAAAUAAAAUAAAAUAAUAAAUAAAUAUGUUCUUUAUACAUCUAUAGAAAUUCGAAUAGUUGACAUCAAAGAUAAGAUGAUGCAAUAGUAAUUUUACUUUGGAUUUUAUUAAUUUUUCUUUAGAAUACGAUUGUGUCUAGAGAAUAAUAUUAUACAUUCUAAAUUUUUUAUCUUAAAAUUAUCAUAAAUAAUACAAUAUUUAUAAAUUUAUUGGUUAGAUAAUAUAAUUAGUACACUUAAAUAUUAUAAAAAAAUUAUCAAUUAUUUAAUAAAUAAUAUAUUAUUUAAAAUAAAAAUUUGUGAUGUGUAUCGUUGCUUUUUGUGUAGAGUACGGUACCGCAUUAACUUAUCCUUAAGUAAAUUUCCCAACGAGAGCGUGUAUACACACGCGCUCUAUUACAUGACAACAUUGCGUCUUCUUUCUAAAACCCAAUUGCAGCCACAAACUUCGGUUCAUGCACGGGUGAACCAGACGCAAAACCUCAUAACACGGCGCGUGUAGCACACAGAAGGCGAAACACUUUGGAGUCCCAAGACUACCCUUGCGUGAAACAGCGACCCAAGGCUCAGAGAACCCGAAAAGCGAGUAUCAAAAUUAAUGAUCUAGCGCCAGGAGCGUGUGGGAGUGUUAUGCCCUCGUGGAACUCAUUGUCCUGAAAGCUUUAUCUUUCUAAAAUUCCACGUUGUCAUUCGUUACUCAAACGAGUUGCUAAACUCGUAGACCAAGAACGCUGGAAAGACCUGACGUCCGGGACAACUUGUCUGGCCAAAUGGUUGAAGCUCAUUGGUCUGUGACUCACAGGCAGGUAAUAAAACAAUAUCAAUUUCCAACAAAGCUGUCUCCAGAAAAUAGCCUGUGGGACACCUAAUAUUUUAUGAUUUCGCAAGGAAGGACAUAGUUUGUCCAUUUGUAAUAAAUAGGUACCUGACCAAGUGACCCCUAAUGACAUAAUAAAAGAGUAACACUACAAAUACAAAAAAGUUAGAAUAUAUAACAUUUAAUUUGUCAUUUAAUAAAUAAAUAAUUUCAUAUCAAUAUUAUCAAUGAUUGGAUAAUAAAAUUAAUA
rnacentral:lncRNA from 1 species